AUUCAAGCUAGUGAAGGAGGCAGAAAAGAAGUCCUGGCUCAGCACAGGUCAGAGCUCCAUGACCAUGCCUGUGAGACAGAGAAUCUGACACCUCACAGUGUCCUUGUGAAGACAACGUCAGGGCACAGCCAACCGCAUCCUGAGGGCUGAAGGCAGCCGUGGUCGACUUUUGUAUGUCCACCGAAUAAAAUGGAUUUUCUAUUUUAGAUCCUUGCAAAAGGAAAACAACAAUUCAA
rnacentral:lncRNA from 1 species